AGUUUUUAUUAGGAAAAACUUCAAAAAAGGUUUCAUAGUUUCUCACUUUGCCCUCAUGUGGUUUAAAAUGUAUCAAAUUGCCCCCCUGUGAUUUCGUUUUUAUCUUUUUGGUAGCUUUUUCGUUAAUAUUUCAUUCAAUUAUAUACAAAAAACUUCAAAUACCAUCUAGAUUUAUCAAAUAUUCACUUUAGUACUCUUUAAUUUUAACUUUAUCACUGAUUUAAGAAAAAAUAAAUAAUAAAAUUGUUAAGAAAAAGAGAAAAAAGAAACCACAGAAGGGGCAAAUUGAUAUAUUUUAAACCACGGGGGGGCAAAGUGAAAAACUACGAAACCACGUGAAGGGCUUUUGAAGUUUUUCCUUUUUAUUAUGCCAAAAAGCACGAGUUA
rnacentral:lncRNA from 1 species